AUCCAGAUGAAAAGUCCCAAAUAGGACGAAACGCGAGUCAAACUGGAU
rnacentral:hammerhead_ribozyme from 1 species